GGUGCGCCUGGCCUAAAAAGCAUUCGCGCUGUGAUUUGUCGAUGCACAGUUUAUGGAUGCAACGUCGUAGAUUAAAUUGCCCUUCGGGUGGCGAUGCUUGAUAUAUUCCAGUAACGGUGCGCAGCCGUUCAGGCGAUGAGCGCGCGGUUAAACCAUAUCACGCACAGUC
rnacentral:snoRNA from 1 species